rnacentral:lncRNA from 1 species
GCGCUUGGGGUCAGGCCGCCUGGGGUGUGAGACCCCUGCUGCUGCUCGGGCCUCAGCCCUUCUCCCAGGGGCUGGGCUUCCCCCGCCGCCUCCCCCGCCGGAGCCUGACCGCAGGACCCUUGCGCUGGUGCGCCCCGGGAGCCUGGCCGCCUUCCAGAGGGCCCUGGAGGAGCCGCUGUGGCCCGGCCCCAUUCCUUCCUCCUCGCUCGCCUCCCUGGGACCCUGAGGCUGCACCCACUUCACCUCUGUUUAUUAUUGUUUUAAAAAGUACUUCUUUCCCACAAUUCUCCUACACUGGAAGGAGUUUUUACUUGGACUCUUAAAAUAUAUUUACUACUGGCCCAGGGUCAGGUGGCUGAUGGAUUCACACGGCAAGUGGGAUCCUGAGUCAGUGGGAAUCCGGCCUUUCGGGGCGUUUACACACACCCCUCCGGGCUUGGGAGGCGGCGACAGCUCCCGGGGAGGCGGCGGGGCCGGCUGAGCCGCAGCCCACGGCCCAUCUGCUCCGAAGCGUCUGGGAGCCGACAGGCGCGCCUGCACGCGGGCCCCGGGCAUGUGGUGACGGCAUGUUCAGACCAGACUGUCACGGAGCUGACAGCCCAGAAACACACCCGUACGGAGACGAGACGGGAGUUUGUUGUUCUCUCCCAGAGAAGAAACUCGGCAGCAGGUGGCCUGGUGUGGCGUUCGGGAACGUGGGGUCUGGCUUGCGCUAGCCUGCUGCUCCCUCUUCCUCCAUCACCGCGUGGGUGUCACCUUAAGGUCCUGAGUGGCUUAGGGGCACCAGACAUUCAAAGUCUGGGCACACGUGGCUGGGACUUUGUGUGCCUGGAGCCGGCCCCCGGGCACCCUUUUCGGAUCAUGGUCCUUCCUCCAUGCGCCCUGGCCCCCGGAUGUAUGGCCUGGGGCCUGGGUCGGAUGCUCCCAGCAGGCAGCUGGGGGUUAGCAGGGAGGAAGCACUUGGGGCUAGGACGGGAAGUGGAUUGGCAUAUCACCCCAUCUUCCCCCUGGGGGGGGGGCAUUUAUCAACAGCCUCCCACCUCCCUGGAGCUUUGCAUGAUUUCCUGGCAUCUCGGAGGGCUGCAGGAUCGUCCCAUUCCAGGGGUACAGAAAUUGAGGCCCCGAGAGCCCGUGGAAUCUUGUGACUGGCCAGGAGAGCUCCACGACUGGCAGGGGCCCGCAAGUGUGUUCCCGCGGAGCAGAUUCAACGUGAGCGGCACCAGCAUCCCCGUUCAGAGGCCGGGCUGUCCCCAGGGAGAGGAGGGGCCCCCAGUGGGUCCCACAGGAAGCCGGUCCCGUCACUGCCCCGCGGAUGUGCAUUCCAGAGGCCCCUUGGAGUCCGGCCUUGGAGCUUCCAGGCCCGCGGCCCGCUACGUGACGGCCCGCGUGUGCACACGCCCGGCUGCGUGUGGGUGUUGGGUGUGCGCCGGCCCGGAGUGCAGGGGCAGCAGCGUGUGGACUCGUCAUUGGAACAGAGCAGCAGGCAGGGCCGGGGCCUCCCGGUGCGGCGAUGAGGGUGCCGUCCCCUGUGCCGCGCAGAGCCACUGCCGUCUGCGGCGCCCCCUCCCUCAGAGUCCCGGCGGCCCGGGCUCGGGGGGCCCCGGCGUGGGAGACGGGCUCCGGUCCCCAGGAAAGCCUGUCACCCAGCCACCCGACUUUCAGCGGCUGGGAUUGUUUUCAGACUCGGGCUUUAGGGCUCCGACAGGUUACGGCAAAUUAAUCCAGCGGGACAAAUCUGCCUGCCUUUUCUCUCCUGAGGACGAUGAGGAUUCUGUCUCUGGGGAAAUAAAAACCAACACUGGGAGAACUGUAGAAUGUGCUGGACUUCACCUGGAAUGUUUCUUCUUCUUCUUCUUCUUCUUCUUCUUUUUUUUUUUUAAGAUUUUAUUUAUUUAUUCACGAGAGACCCAGAGAGAGAGGCAGAGACGCAGGCAGAGGGAGAAGCAGGCUCCCUGUGCGGACCCCGAUGCAGGACUUGAUCCCCGGACCCCGGGGUCACGCCCUGAGCCGGAGGCAGACGCUUCACUGUUGGAGCCCCCCAGGAGCCCCUGCCCCCUCCCCCCGCCCCCAUUUGACUUCUGAACAGUUAAUGAGGUGAGUCAUCUGAGUGGUGGAUUUGGGGAUUUGACCACACCCAAACUUCUCAUUCUCCCAGAAAUGCCUGUGCCCCAGCAGCCUCUGCCUCCCUGAGCCUUUCCUGUGCAAACAGAUCAGCCCCAGGCCCCGGAGGCUGGGGAGGUCACACCCUCCUGGCUACUCCUGGGGGGUCAGUGGAAGUGAAUGCCCCUUGAUGUCAUCCUUCCCCUCCCUCCCCCCCAGGCCAGCCGCCUAGGCCUGCCCACACCUGCAGCCUCAGCAGACAUCCCCGUGUGGUGGCUGGACUGUGGUCUCUGCCGCCGCAUGCCCGCCAGCACCCCCAGGGCCUCUGAGCCCGCCCAGCACUGCCCGCCAGCUGGGAGCUUCUCCACAGAUGCACUAUAGCCUGCCUAGGGCCUUACUGCCCUUAGCUUGCCGGUCGUGGGGUCCCCCCAAACCUACCAUCUCCACAGUGGUGACAGGAUCUGCCCAAUGUCUGUGACUCCUGCUUAGACCAGGCAUUGGAGGAACCUGGGUAGGCAGUGUGUGUGCACGCAUGUGUGCAUGCGUGCAUGUGCAGUGUGCACGUGUGCAUGUAUGUGCUGUGUGCAGACACAUGAAUGUGCACGUGUGUGUUUCUCAUUAAUCCCCAAAUAUACAUUAUUGUAUUUGACCCGAUUUUGAUCAUUUUUUGCAGCACUAUUUUGUUGAGACCCAAUUGUUUGGGGCUGUCAGUUAUAAUUUGCACAUCCGUGACAUUUCCUGAGCUGGUGUUCCCUGGCUGGUCAGUUUGGGAAACAUUGGCAUAGACCAAACUUUGAGGAGCUCAAAAUAUGAUUUUGACAAUCUCCCUGUCAUCCCUGACGCCCACACUUCCCCUAAACCUGAGAACAUUUGAUCUGGAGGAUUCUGAAUGUCUUUUUGGGGGAUUCUCUCCACAUCCAGUGGGGGGGGGCAGAAACCAGGCCGGAAGACCCUGGAGCUGUGUGAGCAGGACAGGAGGGAAACACAGGGCGGCCUGUGUGGGGUGAACCUGCGUACGUUCUGGUCCUGCUUCUGCAUGUUGGGGUCAGAUUCACGGGGCGGGCCCCACGUACACUUUGUAAACCUCGGGCCUUUCCCCUGACUCACGGGGAGUGAGCCUGAGUGCUGUCAGAGUCGUGCGGCAGUCUGAUUUGAAUAGUGUUGUAGAGAUGUGUCACUUACACGGUUAGAUUCAUGUCACGGGCAAUUGUUAUUGAACAGACCGCAGUAACCUGACCUUCAGUUGGAAAAGCCGCAUCCAUGCCCAUCCCCUCUCUUUCUGUAAAUGGGCACUUUCCUACCCCAAAGAGCAUGUGAGGAUCACGCAGGCUGACGUGUGCAAAGCUUUGGCACAGCAGAGCCAAGAAGGGUUCAUAGGCUGAAUUGCGUCCCCUCCAAAUUCGUAUGCUGGUGUCCUGACCCCCAGACUCUCAGAAUGUGGCUCUAUCGUCUUUACAGAGGUGAUUAAGCUAAAACGAGGUCACUGGGGAGGGCCUCAAUCCGAUCUGGCUGGCGUGUCCUUACAAGAAGAGAUCGGGACACAGAUGUGCACAGAGGGAGACCAUGUGAAGACACAGGGGAAAGACGGCGUCCACACACCCAGGAGAGGGGCCUCAGGAGGAGCCAGCCCUGCCCACGCCUGGACCUCGGACCUCCAGCCUCCAGCCUCUGGCCCCGAGAGGGAAUAUGUUUCUCUUGUUUAAGACGCCCGGCCUGUGGUGCUUUGUUGUGGCUUUGUUGCGGCAGCCCCAGGACAUUGGUACAGCAGGUGCUCAGCAAGUAUGAGUUGCUACCAGUAGGCUUUCUCCAGCGUUGAAUUAUGGCACUCUAUUUCUUGAGGACACCUGAGACACAUUUCUACGUGCUUGGAACUUCACCUAUGCAUAUUUAAAAAUGUAUUUUAGGAAGAGAAAUGUUAGCACAUUUUGCUGCUAGUGAGAAAUCCAGCGGCAUCUGUUUUAAAAAUACUUGUGUGGUUCCGUUCCUUGGAGCUGGACAUCACUGGUCCUGGCCGUCACUCCAGGGUGGGGGGGGUGGGCUCAGCAGACCCCUGGUGAGUUCCAGGGGUCAGAGUUUCAGUGUCCGGUAACGCCACAGGGUCCUGUGUGUGACUGGUUAGCCUGUUUGGUGUCAGAAUUAACCCAGUGCCUUUGUCAGCGGAUUUUACUUGCUGUGUCUAAGAGUCACUUACCAAGCCCCGCCCUCUAUGCCCAGGCCUGCUCCCGCUGCAGAGCAUGGGUGACACAGGUUUGGGGGCCUUAACAGCAAGGGCGGACAAGGGGCCUUGUUCUCUCCUGCCAGUACAUGUGGCCCAGCGGCUGCUGCCUUUGUCUGUGAGCCUGUGAUGUCCACGUGGCCUGGUCACUUAGGUCCCCUGGCCCAGGGACCCCUAGAGAAACCGUAUGCCUUUUCCAUCAGCUGUUGAGUGGAAAAAGGGGGGUUCCCUGCUCCCGGGAGCAGUGAAGGGGAGGCUCUGGCCAUGCAGGUCCAUGAGGAGAGUCUGCAAUAGGCAUCUGAGUACUUGUGAGUCCUCCUACCCUCACCCUCUGAGUGGGGCCCCGUCCCCUCUGCGGAGCCCCGCCCCCUCCACGGAGCCCUGCCCUCUGUGCCCAGCCCUGCUCCCCUGCAGAGCCUCAUCCCCUCUACGAGGCCCCGCCCCUUUGCCAAGCCCCGCCCUCUGUACAGAGCCCUGCCCCCUGCACACAGUGC